AGAGAAUUUAUCCAGGGGUACUCAACCCAGAGGAAGCACUCCACCAUGAAAUUGGGAAAUUCGAUUGUAAUGUGUUGACCCCUUUCACAAACACGGGACAGAAGGUGGCCUGGAACUAAGCUGCUAUCCCAUCAACAAAGGGCUGCAACCAGGUGGCUGGCCAUGAAUCCUCUGAAAAUGAAAUAUUCUCUAAAAGGCUGUUCCUGAUUGACUUUUGAAGGUGGCCUGGAAAUAAGCUACUAUCCCACCAACAAAGGGCUGCAACCUAGUGACUGGACAUGAAUCCUCUGAAAAUGAAAUAUCUCCAAAACGCUGUUCCUGGUUGACUUGUGUGGAAACAUCUACUCAGCGUUGCUGCAUGGUGUGCGCCAUCAUAGAGGAGUCCGUGGCUGCGAUCGGUUUCCUUGACGAAUGAUUUACCAGUCACUGAGGGUCAUCAGUCAAUAAGGUGUUCUUGCUCAUGGAGGCAUGCUGGACUUUCCCCAAUGAAUGCAGUUUGUCUCUCAAGGCCUGAGUGAACUCAGAAAACACAUGAACCUUGAUACACUUUGUGUGCUGUUUUAGGAGUCCUAGGAUUCUUUUCCAAAUGGAGGGAGAAGGGAGUUUUGUCCUGCUCUAUAGACAUCAGAGAAUCAGACUCAUUUAAUACUAGUAAACAUUUCUGUGGCUCACAAUGUUAAUGACCCUGUUAUCUGAUGGGCAUCUUCUGAGUCCGUAGGGAGAUGGGAAUGGU